rnacentral:rRNA from 1 species
AACGAACGCUGGCGGCAGGCCUCAAACAUGCAAGUCUAGGGGGUGUAGCAAUACAUCACCGGCGGACGGGUGCGUAACGCGUGGGAAUAUACCUAUCGAUUCGGAACAACUGAGGGAAACUUCAGCUAAUACCGAAUACGUCCUAACGGAGAAAGAUUUAUCGUCGAUAGAUUAGCCCGCGUUCGAUUAGCUAGUUGGUGGGGUAACGGCCCACCAAGGCGACGAUCGAUAGCUGUUCUGAGAGGAAGAUCAGCCACACUGGGACUGAGACACGGCCCAGACUCCUACGGGAGGCAGCAGUGGGGAAUAUUGGACAAUGGGGGGCAACCCUGAUCCAGCAAUGCCGCGUGAGUGAUGAAGGCCUUAGGGUUGUAAAGCUCUUUUGCCAGGGAAGAUGAUGACUGUACCUGGAGAAUAAGCCCCGGCUAACUUCGUGCCAGCAGCCGCGGUAAUCUGAGA